AUAGUGACACCUACAGCGAAAGGAAAUCUUAGCACGAUCUGCACGAACACCGUUAAAACGAAUUCUAAUUUUACCAUUAUCAUGAGUAGCUACAACGGUCAAAAAGAGAAAUCCGCUGAACUCCAUCGCCGCACUUUACUAGCGGCAAGAUGAUUACUACGAUGCCCCCUGGUCAUCGUACCAAACGUGGCUACUCGUCAUAUGCUGUAAAUGUGAAGUGAAAGUGACCCAGCGGGAGCUGAACGGAACGUGCAGACAAAAUUCCGUUAUGGAGCCGUAAUCAUCGACGGCGUAUACCAGCGCUAACGUCAACUGUGGACACUUCUGCAAAGCACCUGCUAGCCCGCAGACCCAAUUCUUUGUCGGUUCCGGCCAGAGUGAUGACCUGUUAGCUGAAUGAAAACAGCUGACAUCUUCUAAUCGUGUCAAAUUUAGACUUGCAAAGCCGCAAAAUACGACGAUCAAGCUCGGCCUCAAAUUAUCUAGUGAUGGAAUUAUUUUUGUCGAUACUGGUGUACGUGGCAGUGCUCUUUUUGACGGACCCAUCGACCGCCUUACCCCAUAAUCCGCCACACAACUAUUUGGGACGACCCCGUGAUAAACGAUGUCCAGCUGUAUCCGAAGGACAAUUACUUUGUCCUCAGCAUGCCCGGUCAUGCAGUCUUGCCAAACUGGAUGGAUGCGACCAUGAUGGAAUGUACUGCUGUGAAGAUAAGUGUAACAACGCCAUUUGCUACAAUCGUGAUGGCACUGCUCUUCAUUCAGACUAUUAUCGGCCGU